rnacentral:rRNA from 1 species
GAUGAACGCUGGCGGCGUGCCUAAUACAUGCAAGUCGAGCGAACAGACGAGGAGCUUGCUCCUCUGACGUUAGCGGCGGACGGGUGAGUAACACGUGGAUAACCUACCUAUAAGACUGGGAUAACUUCGGGAAACCGGAGCUAAUACCGGAUAAUAUAUUGAACCGCAUGGUUCAAUAGUGAAAGACGGUUUUGCUGUCACUUAUAGAUGGAUCCGCGCCGCAUUAGCUAGUUGGUAAGGUAACGGCUUACCAAGGCUACGAUGCGUAGCCGACCUGAGAGGGUGAUCGGCCACACUGGAACUGAGACACGGGCCAGACUCCUACGGGAGGCAGCAGUAGGGAAUCUUCCGCAAUGGGUGAAAGCUUGACGGAGCAACGCCGCGUGAGUGAUGAAGGUCUUCGGAUCGUAAAACUCUGUUAUUAGGGAAGAACAAAUGUGUAAGUAACUAUGCACGUCUUGACGGUACCUAAUCAGAAAGCCACGGCUAACUACGUG